GUCGUGAAAUAAAACAUUUUUUAAUUAAGUAAACUUUGCGACCGAAUUAAUUCCGUCGCAAUAUGAAUUAAGUGAAAUAACAUAACCCUAUUCCCUAAUCUUCUAAUUCCAUUCAGACACGCGCCUCUCCUUCUCCUCUUCUAAAGUCGACGCUGCCAUUCUUGCCAUCUGCCCACUUCGCCGCCGCAGUCUGCCAACGCCGUCGACGUUGUCGCCUGCCCACGCCCAGACAGUGAAGCUCUAGUCGGCGUAGCUCCAGACGACGUAGCCUUCGCCGUCUCCGUGCCUAGGAGACAACCUCCCAAUCGCUCUGCCUCUAUCGCUUUGUGACUACCGUCGCAACGUUGUACCCCCAGCCUCGCCGCGACCUCGCACUACUUGCUCCGUCGCGACCUCGCACCACCAACGCACACAGCACACCGCCGACCACCAAGUAUUCAAAUUUACAGUGCAAGUAUUCCUGGGAUGUUGGGGAUGUUUCAGAUGUGUACUCCAUGACAGUUUAAUAAAGUAGAGUCGCCACGAGAGUACUUUAGCAAUAGGGAAUUUGCAAUUUAGGGUAUUUUCUAUCUUCUUUAGCUAUUUUAUUAUUAUAUAUUGUUACCUUUGAAUAUUUGGAUUGCUUUAGCUUAAAUUACUUUGUUAUUGUGUUUAUCCUUUGGAUUCUUGUUUGUUAAAAGUUAUUUUCCAUCUUUAAUUGCUUAAUACAUUGGUGGUUGAUGUUAUUGAUGAAUAUUCUUGUGUUUAGUCCUUCUAUUAUGAGUGAGUAGAGUAGCUUAGGGGUUGGACAAUGGUGUUUGUUGUGUUGAUCCCUAUUUGAUAUUUAUUGCAUUCAAGGGUUUGAAACCCAACCUAAGGAUCUUGUUCUAGUAAGCUGUUUUGUGUGUUGGUGCUGAUGAGUUUGUGCUCAUCCUUGUCAACACUUGUCUAGUAUGGAAUUUUGGCAACCGAAUGGACAAGGAGCCCAAGGACCAUCACACCCCUAGACUCAUCCCUCAGCCGCCAUUAUUCUUUAGACUAUAUCCCACGACCUUCAGGUUCACUUAUGAGAGGGAUUGGUAGCGUCACGAGAUUGUGACAACCCUGUUUACUAAAAUGGCCUAGCAUUGGAUCACGAGAGUGGUGUGUUAGUCAAGCAAUUUGGAGUUGGUGGUCUUGAACCCUAUGGUGAAGUUUAUUAGCCCUCAAUCCUUUGAUUCACAGCAUCAGACCAAUGAUAGGUGCCAAAGAUACCUAGGUUGAGGGUCUAAUAAGGGGGUGAAAUUGUGUUAUUUGGUAUCCUUUUGUGGUUAAUUUAUGGUGCAAUAUGCUCUAAUGUGCUAAUCUUUGCAAAGCUCUACCAAUUUGUGCACUUUGAAAGGUUUUGAAGGUUUUGGAGCUUGAGGAAGAAAGCAUAUGGACUUGACAAAGAAACAACCAAGAGAUGAAGUUGAAGGGAAGGCUCCACGAGUAGCCCACAACCGUGGACAGCUCGUGGGAAUGGAACAAAAAGUCUCACACCACCAGCCCACGAGCUGGAAGGUGGCGUGGUUGGAUAAGUGGAAAGUCCACGAGUGAUCCACGCUCGUGGACGGGCUCGUGUAAAGCUUCUGGGCGCGAGAAUUAAAAUGUGUAAAUGGAGAUAAGCUAUUUAAAGGCCUAGAUUAGAUAUUUUUUUGGAGGUUAGCUUCAGUUUUAGAUAAUUUUCAGAUUGUAGAAAGAGAAAUUGUAGAAGAACACACUUUACUCUUAUAGUGAAGAUCAACAUUUUGAAGUCAAUUAUUUUUGAUUUUGCUUGCAAA